CUUAUUUGCCUAGUUUAUUAUUAUUAUUUUAUUUUAUUUUCAACUAGGGUUUGCAAACGAGGGGUUUGUGCGAUUAGGGUUUUGUAGCAAUCCACAAUAAAACUCCAGAGGAAGUGAAUGCGCCCUUGGUCACCAUUAAUUCCGCCUAAAUCUUCUUAGCAUCCAUGGAUGACCAAUGCUUUUUAAUUUUUACAGUACGUUUCCUGUACAAAGCACAUAUCGAAGGCUCAUUGCUGGUCAUCAUAGAGACCCUUUUGGCUCAAAAAUUGUGCAAUAGAAAAUGUCAUUGAUAGUGGGUUAUGGUAUUUCUUCAAAUAUCAGAAGCUCAAUACGGAUGACACACAUUUUUUCGUUUAUUUGUAGGAAAAAGAUUAAAAUAAAUUUGCAGAGCAGAGGUUUAGAUUAGUAACCAAUGUUCAUGGGAUCGGGGAUAAAUGUUUUUUUGAUUGUUUGUUUGCGUUUUUCUUCGUUUUGGUAAGAAAGACAGGUAUGCAGGUGAGUAGCUGGGCCAUUUGAAGCCCGCUCAGGCUAUUCUGUAAGUGUACAUACUAUUUUAAAUUUAUAGCGUUCGGUAAAUUGUGUUGAGCGGGUUGGGAUUGUUCUUGUUCGUCAAGUGCUUGACAAAAUGUGUUAACCUAUUUUGAUGGACUCUGAGCAUGGAUCUCCGAGCAGUUACAUUUACGUAGGAAAGCAACAUCUUAGUUUACACGAGAUCUGCACGGUUGAUUAGAUGAAAAGGAGCUAGAUAAAUUUUGUGAAUUUAGUUUUCUGUAAUAUUUUGGAUAUCCAUUAAAUGAUUAGCAAGAAUACAAGGAUUUGCACAGAUUCGUUAAUUAUAUUCUGCUAUGGUAUUUUACAGUCCGUAAGAUUAAAAGGAACUUCCAAGGAAAGCUCUGUGAAUUUAACUUUCUUCCAUAUUUUAGAUAUCAUCAAAGGAAAUAAUUUUAAUUUUUUUAAAUAAAAUUGCUCUUUAAUCACUGAAAGUGUUCCAAAUCAUUUGAUGAAAUCUAAAUUCGCAGUAUUCUAUCAGAUUCUGCCUUGGCAUUGGACUAUAUAAUAUGUUGAUUUUUGAAGCAUUGUGCACUGGGAACUCCUAAUAUAAUGUGAUGAUUUCUGAAUUAUUAGUCACUGAAAGUGUUAGGAUAUACCGAAGAAAUCUAAAUUUAGAGUAUCCUUGAAACUCAUGAUAGCUCGUCAGCCUCUACCUUUGGAGUGGAUUAUAUAGUAUAUCGAAUUCUAAAUCAUUAAUCACUAAACUUGUUCCAAAAAUUGAUCAAAUCUAAUUUUACAGUAUAUCUAGAAACUUCUUAUAGCUUGUCAGACCCUGCCUUGGCAGCAGAUUAUAUAUAACAUGUUAAUUUCUGAAUUAUUUAUCACUGAACUUGUUCCAAAAACAAAUUGAUGAAAUCUAAAUUCACAGUAUUCCUUAAAACUCCUAAUAGCUCAUUAGACUCUAUCCUGGCAGCGGCCUAUAUAGUAUGUUGAUAUCUGAAUCAUUGUGCAUGGGAGCUCCUGAUGUAGUAUGUUGAUUUCCGAUUUCUGAAUCAUUAAUCACUGAAUAUGUUCUAAAAAAGAUUGAUGAAGCCUAAACUCACAGUAUUCCUAUUGUCAGACUAUGCCUUGGCAGGGGACUGUAUAGUAUGUUGAUUUCAUAAUCAUUGUGCAUUGGAGCUGUGCAUUUUCAAAAACUAAAUCCAGUAUUAGUGUUUGAUGUUCAUUCUUUUUAUUAUGGCAAUGAAUUCUAUCCUGUGGGUUUUUUGGUCGGCAGUAUUAUCCUGAGAACCAGCUUCCAAAAAUCAGUAGAAUAUAAUUAGUGAACGCUUCAGGGUUCUCCAAAAUUUUCAUUGGAGGAGAACAAUUCCUACUGGAAUUAGUUAUUUUCCCGUUUGUAAAAAGAUAAAGAGAGGCGGAUUUGUUGGCGAACUUCUAGCAAAUCAUGGCUGCAAUAUGAGUCACUGAUUGCAUUUCCAAUUGGCAUGUCCUGGGAAGGAUUACAAGAAAUCAUGAAUGUCUUGCUUUGAGGCUUUCUCUUAAGGCCUAAUUACCAGGCGAAUUUGAGGAUUUUUGGAAAUUUGUUGUUUUCCAUCCCAACCUCAUUUUCCUCCAGCAAUAAUGGAGGAAAUUAAAAAUAGUCAUUGAAAUCGUAUUUACAUACAAAUAAUUGUAUCAAUAUUUACAGAAAA